rnacentral:lncRNA from 1 species
UUUUUAGUAGAGAGGGGUUUCACCGUGUUAGCCAGGAUGGCCUGGAUCUCCUGACCUCGUGAUCCGCCCGCCUCAGCCUCCCAAAGUGCUGGGAUUACAGGCGUGAGCCACCGCGCCCGGCCAAGUAGACCACUCUUCAAACAUUUCUUUCCUCUCUGGGCCUCCAGAACAGCCCCUUCCCUGGGGCUUCCUUCCACAUCUCUGAACUCUUUCCUAGUUUGUUUGCAAUCGUCUCUUCUACUAUAAUUCUUCCUCAGUACAGUACCUGGACCUUCUUUCCUUCUCUCUCUCUCUCUCUCUCUUUUACACAGUAACCAAUUUAUUUUUAUUAGAGAUCUUCACAUAAUAUACUAAACGUUUUUCAACUAUUAUUAUAAUGACCACUUUUAAUGGCUAUAUAUAAGAUAAUUGCUUGGAUGAGCUAAGCUAAAGCAAGUUUGGGAGAUGGCACGUAUUCUUGCUUUCAUUUGUGAUUACUUUAUUCUAAGGACAAAUUUUUAAGAGGUAAUAGUACUUAAAGCUAUUAUUAUUGAAUUCCUUCUGUGUUGUAGACUCUAUACUAAAUGCAUUACAGAGACUUAAAACAGUGGGAAUCAAAGUGUGUAUAAUUAUCCUGUAUUUUGCUCAGUUAAAUAAGUAGCAUCUGGAGUUUGAACUCAAGACUGCCUGAUUCCAAAGGAUGAUUUUUAUACUAUGCCCCAUUACUAACAUUUUGAAUGGCAGCAAUAAGGAAAUUUGAGGAACAAUAUGGGACAUGCAUUCCAGAUGACAUAGAAGCAGACAGAUUCUAGAAAAUUAUCUUACAAAUAAUUGUUUCCUGAUUUAGGCAUAAAAAAUACUUUUUGAAAAUAAUGAUUUUCAAAUAGUAAAAUAAAUUAAGAGAAGACGAAAGUAAAAGAAAUAAAAAUGAACUUUUGUAUAAUUGUCAUUUUCAAAUUAAAAAUGGCUCUCAUGACUUUUAUAUGACUCUAAAAGUAAUAAAUGCAUCAUCUAUGUGAAUGAAAAUCCAAUAGGGCACAGAGAAGUUAAUAUUGUUUAUAAUAAUGGUAGGCUUAAUCUGCAUAUGAUAUUUUAUAAUAUGCUUUUUAAAAUUAAUGCAUGAUAUAAAGCUUUUCAUAUCAAUAACUGUAUGACCACAUAAUCUUCUCAUUAUACAAACAUACCGUCUCUUUUGCUAUUUGCACCAUUUUUUUUCUUUUUGCUAUUGUAAACAAUGCUGUGAUUAGCAUCCUUUAAACAUGUCCUUGUGAGCCUAUCCAUUAAUUUACUUAGGAUAAAUUUUUAGCAGUAAAAUUACAAGUUCAAACAAUAUGUUCUUAAUUAAAAUGGUACAUUUCUUACUUAAAGUGAAGAAUAAAACACCUAAAGCAAUGGCAACAAAAGCCAACAUUGACAAAUGGGAUCUAAUUAAACUAAAGAGCUUCUGCACAGCAAAAUAGACUAUCAUCAGAGUGAACAGGCAACCUACAGAAUGGGAGAAAAUUUUUGCAA